GCUGUUAGAAAACAUCAGAAAACGUAAGGAAAUGUCAGAAAACAUCCCCAAAAGACAGAGAACGUGUCCUCAUUUACCUCCGGCGCGACUGUUGCGUUUGAGUUUUGAAACCUUGUCAGUGAAGCGUCUGAAAGAGACUCAUGACUCAUUAGCACUGUGAGUCACCUCCAGGUGCUUCACAGCAAACUAGAGCAAAAAUAACCUUUCGCCCCAUAAAACUACAGGAAAGGCAGUUCGGUACUGACAUUUGUGCCAUGAGGAACUGCAGCGUCGUGAACUCAUUUGCUCCACAGUGACACACAGUUUCAUCCUCGUAGGUUUUGUGGAUCAAUGGUGAGGCUGCUUCUUGAACCUCCCACAGAAUGACUGCAGUGCGGGACUACAUGAGUAGCACAGAUGGAGCUUUUAAUCUGUGGGUUUAAAGAAGAGUCACCACAACGGACCAAUCCAUCCCGACCAUCCAGGCCUCGGUGAGCGCAGCGAGGGAGGGCGGGCUGCGGUGGAUGAGCAUUCCUGUUGUCUCUGAGGUGACGGCGACACAGAGGAGCCAUUGAUAGCGCCACUGGACCCCACAGUGUGCUCAUGCUGGAAUGCGUGAUAUUGUGACAGCUCAGUCAGACAGAAACAGAGCAGUACAGAAUUCUUUAAGUGCGCUGAACUUCAGUUUUGAGCUCGUCAUUCUUCUUCAGACAACAGGGGAGUCAGCAGGCGUCUGUUUUGGCGCCUUAUUGAGCUACACCAGUGACUUAGACACUCAAAGCAGCUAAUUAUCGUGGCCAGGAAGGUGUAGCUAAAUGAUUUGUCUUGAGCAACUGCAGUGAUCCAGCAGCUUCAGCUAAGUCAACAGGAACUGGGUGUGACUGAAAACUAUCACUGCUGAAGCUGCUUUUCAUAUCUGUGUCACUCUUAGAAGUCGCUACAACUGUUGGAGCGCUCUGGGAAAGUUUUGAAGGCUUUCCCACAUGCAAAAGAGCGCAUAAAUAAGGUCUAAAUAUUCAGCAAUGUGCAGCUUAAAUAGCACCAGUGUCUGCUGGUUUUAUUUCUGUGUUUGCUCCACUCUGCUCCCGCCCAGAACACAACUGGCCCGGCUCUGCACCGGCCAGCUGAACCCCCCCAUGGCUCCGUCUAUGACUCAAGCCCGGCGGUUGCACAGAAUCGCCCCUUUGUGUCGGUGAAGAAUGUAUCUUUUCUGAGUUUUUUGGAAAACAGAGGCAGAGAAAGAGAGUGAUGGGGGCAUGAGUAAUUGAGACGGAUUUAAAUCUGAUGACAUGUGAUUUAUGCUUCCUUCAGAGGCAGGAUAUUGUGGCAGCGGCGUUCACUAUUGAUCAAACUGCUGCUGUUAGCCUUGAUCAUUCAGAAGAAUGCUGUGAAAAAUUAACACCAGACACCAGUGGCACAUAUGUUUUAACCAAACUCCACUUGUAAAGAAGAAGAUAUAUUUCCAAGCAGUGUGUUUUGCCUUGAUCAAGAGAAACACUUGUGGUUUCAGUGACUCCAUGCAGUUAAUACUGUACGUCCUCUUAUCCGGUAAGACCAGCGUGGCCUAAUGAGAUCUUGUAAAUAUCCCACAGUAAUACCAUGCAAUUUCCUGUUUUGCAUGGAAAAACAUUAAUAACAUGAGAGAUUCAGAGUAAAGGAAGGAAUUCUUAUUGAAGCAAACAAGAAUCUUGGAAAAACAAUGAGUUGGACAACAUUUUUAACAAUUUAAUAACUGUCGGGGCUGUUUAUUUAUCUCUGAAAUGCUUUAUAUCGUCUUAUAAUGUAUAAAAACAGUGUUUUUGUAGCCACACAGGACACUGCAGAAACUGUCAGCGUGACCUUACAGUUACAGUGUGCAGCAGAUGCAAAAGCAGUGUCACUUCAAUGUCAAAUGAUUCAAACUGAAUCACCUCUCAAUAAUUCCACUGGUCAUAAACUGAACAGUAGGCGUCUUAUUAUGACAAACUAUCAAAACUAAUGUGUGAGAAAGACUGUGAUCAGUGGAACAAAAAUGAGCACACCAGUGAGCCCUAAAUUCAUGAAUAUGUUGAUAAAAUGAGCUGUGAAUUUUCUCUGUUAUUGGAUUUAUGGGAUCUGUCUGUCUGCUUCAUGGCUCCACAUGGGAAAAGAACGGCAAGAGGAAUUCAGCUCUGAGACUUCGGGAAGGAGGAGAAGAAUACAAGAAGAUCGAUGACCAACUAGAAAUCAACUCAAACACACUUAGAGCAGUGAUCAGGAGGUAUAGGAUGAGCUGUAGUCACCAUAAAAAAAAAGAA